rnacentral:rRNA from 1 species
CAAGCGGUGGAGCAUGUGGUUUAAUUCGAUGCAACGCGAAGAACCUUACCUGGUCUUGACAUCCACGGAAGUUUUCAGAGAUGAGAAUGUGCCUUCGGGAACCGUGAGACAGGUGCUGCAUGGCUGUCGUCAGCUCGUGUUGUGAAAUGUUGGGUUAAGUCCCGCAACGAGCGCAACCCUUAUCCUUUGUUGCCAGCGGUCCGGCCGGGAACUCAAAGGAGACUGCCAGUGAUAAACUGGAGGAAGGGGGGGAUGACGUCAAGUCAUCAUGGCCCUUACGACCAGGGCUACACACGUGCUACAAUGGCGCAUACAAAGAGAAGCGACCUCCCGAGAGCAAGCGGACCUCAUAAAGUGCGUCCUAAUCCGGAUUGGAUCUCGCCCCUCCACUCCCUGAAGUGCGAAUCCCUAAUAAUCGUGGAUCAAAAUGCCCCGAUGAAUACUUUCCCGGGUCUUGUACACACC